GAUGAACGCUGGCGGCGUGCCUAAUACAUGCAAGUCGAGCGAACGGACGAGAAGCUUGCUUCUCUGAUGUUAGCGGCGGACGGGUGAGUAACACGUGGAUAACCUACCUAUAAGACUGGGAUAACUUCGGGAAACCGUAGCUAAUACCGGAUAAUAUUUUGAACCGCAUGGUUCAAAAGUGAAAGACGGUCUUGCUGUCACUUAUAGAUGGAUCCGCGCUGCAUUAGCUAGUUGGUAAGGUAACGGCUUACCAAGGCAACGAUGCAUAGCCGACCUGAGAGGGUGAUCGGCCACACUGGAACUGAGACACGGUCCAGACUCCUACGGGAGGCAGCAGUAGGGAAUCUUCCGCAAAGGGCGAAAGCCUGACGGAGCAACGCCGCGUGAGUGAUGAAGGUCUUCGGAUCGUAAAACUCUGUUAUUAGGUAAGAACAUAUGUGUAAGUAACUGUGCACAUCUUGACGGUACCUAAUCAGAAAGCCACGGCUAACUACGUG
rnacentral:rRNA from 1 species